rnacentral:ncRNA from 1 species
CAACCUGAGCUCAGUCGUGAUUACCCGCCGAACUUAAGCAUAUCAUUCAGCGGAGGAAAAGAAACUAACUAGGAUUCCCCAAGUAAUGGCGAAUGAAAGGGGAAGAGCCCAGCGCUGAAUCUCUCGGUCUUAGGCCGCUGAGAACUGUAGCGUAUAGGUGUGACUGUCCUGCUAUAUUGCAUUUCCGAAGUCUCUUUGAUAGGGGCCAACAUCCAGAGAGGGUGCGAGACCGUGUACGGAAAGUAGUAUAGUUGGUAUGGUUACUCCUUGGAGUCGGGUUGCUUGAAAGUGCAGCCUAAAGUUGGUGAUAAACUUCAUCUAAGGCUAAAUAUCGACGCGAAAUCGAUAGCAAACAAGUACCGUGAGGGAAAGUCGCAAAGAACUUUGAAGAGAGAGUUCAAGAGAACGUGAAAUCGCUGAAGUGGAACCGGAGAGAGUUAACAUAACUUGGUAGCUAUAUCCUCUAAAGUCGCUUAACUGUGGCUCUGGGGGGUGGACGCUACCUGUUGUUGCACUGACUGCGUUGAUUGUGCUUUCCGAACAGUAUAGUGUUGCCCACUUUGUGGUGUCUUGCUUUCUGGGAGGUUUGUCAUAAUUAACGUAAAGCCAAUUCCCUUUGGAGUCAGUGUGAAAGUUAACCACCUUUCCCGCCCGUCUUGAAACACGGACCGAGGAGUGUAAUUUAUACGCGAGUCAAGGGGUGGUGAAAACCCUAGGGGCGGAAUGAAAGUAAAGGCCGGUUAACCGGUUGACAUGGGAUCCGCUCUUCGGAGCGGCGCACCAUGGCCCUGUCUUGUCUGCUUGCAGAUGGGCAGCGGUAGAGCGUAUAGUUUGCGACCCGAAAGAUGGUGAACUAUGCUUGAGCAGGACGAAGCCAGAGGAAACUCUGGUGGAAGUCCGUAUC